rnacentral:rRNA from 1 species
UACAGAGGUCUCAAGCGUUUGUUCGGAUUCAUUGGGCGUAAAGGGUGCGUAGGCGGCGCGGUAAGUCGGGUGUGAAAUCUCGGAGCUUAACUCCGGAACUGCAUUCGAUACUGCCGUGCUUGAGGACUGGAGAGGAGACUGGAAUUUACGGUGUAGCGGUGAAAUGCGUAGAUAUCGGGAAGAACGACCUGAGGCGAAGGCGGGUUGCUGGCUGAUACUGACGCGUGAGGCGCGACA